UGAGUAACACGUGGAUAACCUACCUAUAAGACUGGGAUAACUUAGGGAAACCGGAGCUAAUACCGGAUAAUAUUUUGAACCGCAUGGUUCAAAAGUGAAAGACGGUCUUGCUGUCACUUAUAGAUGGAUCCGCGCUGCAUUAGCUAGUUGGUAAGGUAACGGCUUACCUAGGCAACGAUGCAUAGCCGACCUGAGAGGGUGAUCGGCCACACUGGAACUGAGACACGGUCCAG
rnacentral:rRNA from 1 species